AGAUGCUGCCAGGGUCCCUGAAGAGGGAAGACACGCGGAAACAGAAAGGCCUUUUCCACCUCAUAUCCAGCUCCCUCCAGAAAUUCAAGAGUCCCAGGAAGUCACUCUGACCUGCUUGCUGAAUUUCUCCUGCUAUGGGUAUCCGAUCCAAUUGCAGUGGCUCCUAGAGGGGGUUCCAAUGAGGCAGGCUGCUGUCACCUCGACCUCCUUGACCAUCAAGUCUGUCUUCACCCGGAGCGAGCUCAAGUUCUCCCCACAGUGGAGUCACCAUGGGAAGAUUGUGACCUGCCAGCUUCAGGAUGCAGAUGGGAAGUUCCUCUCCAAUGACACGGUGCAGCUGAACGUGAAGCACACCCCGAAGUUGGAGAUCAAGGUCACUCCCAGUGAUGCCAUAGUGAGGGAGGGGGAGUCUGUGACCAUGACCUGCGAGGUCAGCAGCAGCAACCCGGAGUACACGACGAUAUCCUGGCUCAAAGAUGGGACCUCGCUGAAGAAGCAGAAUACACUCAUGCUAAAUCUGCACGAAGUGACCAAGGACCAGAGUGGGAAGUACUGCUGUCAGGUCUCCAAUGA
rnacentral:sRNA from 1 species